CCCUUAGAUGUUCCGGGCCGCACGCGUGCUACACUGAGUGGAUCAGCGGGUCAGGUUGCGCGAAAGUGUUUCCUAAUCUUGAAAUCCGCUCGUGAUGGGGAUUGACGGUUGCAAUUUUCCGUCAUGAACGAGGAAUACCUUGUAAGCGCGGGUCAUCAUCCCGCGCUGAAUACGUCCCUGCCCUUUGUACACACCGCCCGUCGCUCCUACCGAUUGAGUGGUCCGGUGAGGCUUUGGGAUCUGAGCAAAGAGAGCGUUUCGCUCGUUUUGCCCGGAAAACUCAGUCGAACCUUAUCAUUUAGAGGAAGGAGAAGUCGUAACA
rnacentral:rRNA from 1 species